UACAGAGGUCUCAAGCGUUGUUCGGAUUCAUUGGGCGUAAAGGGUGUGUAGGUGGCGCGCUAAGUCGGGUGUGAAAUUUCGGAGCUUAACUCCGAAACUGCAUUCGAUACUGGCGUGCUUGAGGACUGGAGAGGAGACUGGAAUUCAUGGUGUAGCAGUGAAAUGCGCAGAUAUCAGGAGGAACACCGGUGGCGAAGGCGGAUCUCUGGGCCUGUUCUGACGCUGAGGCGCGAAAGCUAGGGGAGCGAACAGG
rnacentral:rRNA from 1 species